CAGUAUCCACGGUAAUACGAAGGUCCCGAGCGUUGUUCGGAAUCACUGGGCGUAAAGGGAGCGUAGGCGGCGUGGUAAGUCAGAUGUGAAAUCCCGGGGCUCAACCCCGGAACUGCAUCCGAUACUGCCAUGCUAGAGGAUUGGAGAGGUAGCUGGAAUUCUUGGUGUAGCAGUGAAAUGCGUGGAGAUCAAGAGGAACACUCGUGGCGAAAGCGAGCUACUGGACAAUAACUGACGCUGAGGCUCGAAGGCCAGGGUAGCGAAAGGGAUUAGAUACCCGAGUAGUCCCUGUCUCUUAUAC
rnacentral:rRNA from 1 species